CGCACGGUCUUGGACUCCAAGAUGCUUUGGGGCCGUGUGAGAAAAUAGUGGCUGAUCAAGGGGAUCUCUUCACAGCCACCAGUAAAGCGGAUAGGUGCGACCUAGGCCCGAAGGGCAAGGCGAGAAGGCAACGGCAGGGCAGGCGUUAAAAGCCGAACACGGCGCUUGUAACUGUCUCAAAACCCACCAUCCCUGCACGCUGAAGAGGGCGCGGGGCGCUGCAAACGCAUAACCCGGAAAGUGCAGAACGCGG
rnacentral:ncRNA from 1 species